rnacentral:rRNA from 1 species
UACAGAGGGGGCAAGCGUUAUUCGGAAUUAUUGGGCGUAAAGAGCGUGUAGGCGGUCCGGUAAGUCAGCUGUGAAAGUCAAGGGCUCAACCCUUGAAAGCCGGUUGAUACUGUCGGGCUAGAGUCCGGAAGAGGCGAGUGGAAUUCCCGGUGUAGCGGUGAAAUGCGCAGAUAUCGGGAGGAAUACCAAUGGCGAAGGCAGCUCGCUGGGACGGUACUGACGCUGAGACGCGAAAGCGUGGGGAGCAAACAGG